rnacentral:rRNA from 1 species
AUUGAAUGCUGGCGGCAGGCCUAACACAUGCAAGUCGAACGGUAACAGGAAGAAGCUUGCUUCUUUGCUGACGAGUGGCGGACGGGUGAGUAAUGUCUGGGAAACUGCCUGAUGGAGGGGGAUAACUACUGGAAACGGUAGCUAAUACCGCAUAACGUCGCAAGACCAAAAAGGGGGACCUUCGGGCCUCUUGCCAUCGGAUGUGCCCAGAUGGGAUUAGCUAGUAGGUGGGGUAACGGCUCACCUAGGCGACGAUCCCUAGCUGGUCUGAGAGGAUGACCAGCCACACUGGAACUGAGACACGGUCCAGACUCCUACGGGAGGCAGCAGUGGGGAAUAUUGCACAAUGGGCGCAAGCCUGAUGCAGCCAUGCCGCGUGUAUGAAGAAGGCCUUCGGGUUGUAAAGUACUUUCAGCGGGGAGGAAGGGAGUAAAGUUAAUACCUUUGCUCAUUGACGUUACCCGCAGAAGAAGCACCGGCUAACUCCGUG